UACGGAGGGUGCAAGCGUUAUUCGGAAUCACUGGGCGUAAAGGGCGCGUAGGCGGGCGCAUAAGUCGAUUGUGAAAGCCCCGGGCUCAACCUGGGAACGGCAGUCGAUACUGUGUGUCUUGAGUGCUUGAGAGGGUGGUGGAAUUCCUGGUGUAGAGGUGAAAUUCGUAGAUAUCAGGAGGAACACCGGAGGCGAAGGCGGCCACCUGGCAAGACACUGACGCUGAGGCGCGAAAGCGCGGGGAUCAAACAGG
rnacentral:rRNA from 1 species